GUUCCCCAGGGCAACGGCCACAGAGGGACGUUACAUGGACCCACCCCCUUCCCCAAGCAAGGACCCCAGUGAAUAACCCUCCAUUACAGAGGGUACAUCAGUCCUACCGUGAUCUUGCAGAACCAGGUGUGUUGGGACAUCUGCAACAUCUGCGCACCAGGGGACCCCAGUAACAGAAUGGAAAAAACACUGAAGAACAAGUCCUCAUCUGCAGCUGUUUUACUGCAAAGCUCCAGAAAUCUUUUGUGGACUGCAAGACCUUCACCUAACAAUCCAAACAACACGGGGUUUCUCCAACCACUGGAUGGUGACCACUGGAUGGUGAUGGGCAUUAGCAUUGCAGGAGGUGUGCUUAUUUUUAUACACAUUCCUACAAGCACACGUUGGUAAAUUCAACACCCGAGUGAUCGUAUACACACACAAUGUUACACACAUUUCUGUUGAUAAAUGAGGGCCCUGGAGAAAAAACUCAUUGUCAAAAAUCCCAACUCAGUUCCUGGUAUUCACCUUCUAAUAGCAACAGCAGUAGUAGUCAGAAAUAGUUGUCCUGAAAUGCCUACUGUGACUAAAACUGAGUCAUAUUCAGUGUGCGGUGCUCUGUGGGACUGAAAGUGUUUCUUUGGUAAAACAGGAAGGAUAAAUGACUCGAUGUGUGCCGCGACACUAAACAACACUACAGGAAGGAAGGAAUAAAAAUCUUUUUUAUCCACUUAUUUUUACUUUAAUUAUCAAACAAUAUUAUUAACUGAUGUGUUUCAUCUUAUUUUUGACUCUCCUUUUAGUACAUAUUGUCAGCUUCAUCAUGCUCGCUCUAACAUGCAGCAGAUAGAAAGUGUGACACAGCACCACGUCCAGCACCAUCGUCACUGUUAAAGACUGAAAAUCAUUUCCCCAGUGACGCGAGUCCAGGUGAAAUUUUUUAAAAAGCCAUUACUUCUCUCUUGACAAUUGAUGCCGCGCAGCCACGGGAGAAUAAUGAUCAGCUGACGGACAGGCUGACAGGUUUACCCUUGUAGGCCCCUGCAGCAGUCUCAAUCCUCCAC